rnacentral:lncRNA from 1 species
AAAGAGUUACCAUAGCAACCUAUAUUGAUGUCACAAGCUCAGGCUUCUGACUUCAUUGCAUAAUGCAGUAGCAACUGGAUUUGCAGCAGAUACACCCUGCUAAAGAACAAGUAUCUUGGUUCACAGCAAAGAGGACAAAGGAAAACAGCAAGUUAUAGGGAGUUGAAUGCUGGAUUGUCAUCAGAGCAUGUGUGGCACUGCCCACAAGUCCUUGGUGGGUUCUGGAGCUGUCCAAGGUUCCAAAGUUCCAGGGAGGGAGCCUGCAGCAGUCAGAGGGCUCUGGGCUCUGCUCAACUCAGUACUGUGAGGUAUGGCUAUAAAUAUUUCUUUGUAGAUCUUGUUAUCUACUACGUAAAAAAGUAUAAAUCAGAAAGAAUGCUCGAGGUAAAAAGAUACUACUGCUUUGAUAUUUAGGUUACUCUUAUCCAAAUUAUGAAUCAUUUCUCCAUCAAUUUGUUUUUAAUAACUGCUUUGAAUAUAC